UUUGGGAAAGCCAAUGACUUGGCGCCUUAAUAUCCAAUCAAAUCAAUUGGACAAGCAAACAGUAACAGAAACAACAACACUGUGGCGUGUCUGUCUGUGUCCAUCCAUCCACAGUCAAUCCAACCCAGAACAGCACCGGCCCGACGGCCAAGGAAAAUGCUAGGUAUCACCACCAACACCGCCCUCUCACCAAUGGGUGUAGUGGGUAUGGGUAUGGGUUUCGCAGCCGCCACCGCCACCGCCACCGCCACCGCCAAACUCCAGUCGCGUUUCAGAGUGUCGGGAGAGGAGGCCUUUCCGUCCUUUCUACCCAGAGAGGUCCACAAAAUCAAAGACCCUUUUGCUCGAAACUUGGCCACUAGGAUUCACAGACUCCCCCUACAGAAGAAAGAAGCCAAUCUUCAUCAUCAAGAUCACAUGGAAGAGGAAGAUCUAGAGGAAGAUGAAACUUUUCAAAGAGAAAGAAACGAAGUCCAUUACUUCUUAUUCUUCAGUUCCUGUUUAGAGUGGAGGUACACACUUCCACUGCUUGAGGAAGCUGGUUUGGAGACCUGGGCGUUGGACAUUCUUGGUUGGGGCUUCUCCCAUUUAGAAAGGCUUCCUUCAUGUGAUGUGGCCUCCAAGCGUGAUCACCUUUAUCAGUUUUGGAAAUCCUACAUCAAAAGGCCAAUGCUACUAGUUGGACCAAGCCUUGGUGCAGCGGUUGCAAUUGAUUUUGCUGUCAACCAUUCAGAAGCUGUUGAGAAACUGGUUUUGAUUGACGCAAGUGUUUACUCAGAAGGCACCAGUAACAUGAGGAAGUUACCCAAGGCAAUAGCCUAUGCUGGGGUUUAUUUGUUGAAGAGCAUCCCACUGCGGUUAUAUGCAACUUUUUUGGCCUUCAAUGGCUUACCAUUUGGUACCUGCUUAGACUGGACUAAUGUGGGUCGUCUACAUUGCUUAUUGCCUUGGUGGGAGGAUGCUACUGUGGCUUUUAUGAAUAGUGGAGGUUAUAAUGUGAGCUCCCAGAUCGAACAGGUAAGAAAUUUUUUUGCUAUUCUAACCAAGAACUAUUGAUUGUCGUUGCAUUUUGUGUAUGAAAAACACGAGUCCUGUGGUUCAGAAGAUGUGUGUAUUAGACUCUGUUUACAUGGAUCGUGUUUGUUGGUGUAGCCUUGACUUGCAAUUUUUAUAUUAUUGUGGCAGACAAAAUAUCUUGACAUAUAUGCUGAAGGCAUUGAAAUUGUAAAGAAGUAUGUGCAAAGGCCCUGAUUAAGGGUUCCACACUGCUUUCUUUCAUUUCUUUAUUGUCUGCAUAACCAAUUUGGCCAUUUUGAUGUUCCUCUUCUUUUGAAACAGAAUUUCAGCUUAAAGUCUGGCAGAAACCUGUUUGCUAAAUAUAUUUCAAAUAUAUCUUUUUGUGCGUUCAAGAACGUAAUUUUGUUAGGGCACUCGUUUAUUGUCACUUCCAGCGGCUGCUAUUUUUAAUUUGACCGACAGAAAUAUAUAAAUGGCAUGCAUCCUGUUUUAAGCCAGCAUUUUCUUGGUUUGAGCCAACAUUUUCUUCCAGCAGCUGCUGUAUAUUAUUGAUUUAUGGAUUUGGAAAGAGGAAAGGAAAUGGUAAGGGAAUGUGAAUGAAAUGAAAGUUAAAAUUUUUCUUCAUUUUCCUCAUCUUUUCCUUUCCAUUUCCAAAUCCCUACCCAAAUCUAUGAUCCGAACGCAGCCUAGGUGUACAUUUAUGAAAUAACAUUAGACUAGAGUGGCUGUAUUGUUUAAGCUGAAGACAUGGUAAGAAUCUGUCAUAGGCCUGCUGUUUGUGUGCUGCACAUUUCUUAGUUUGUCUGCAUGGAUUGCCUCUCUUAGGACACUAUCAUAUGCAUUCAACUGUUUGACAAACAUAAAAUGCAUAUUCAAUAAUAAAAUUUUGGAAGUGACAUGCAACUAUAGUAGUUCAUCUUUGGUUUUAACCAUGGUUAAAGUUAGGAUCCUAGAGGGUCUCGUGGGUAUGAUCAUAAUUGUAAGAUUCGACUUUCCAUAAAAAAUAAGGUGAAAAAUUACCAGUAAUUCAAAUAAGGUGGAGAAUAUUCAGUCCAAUUAUUCUACUUGCGAUACUGCUUUAAUGCCGAUUUUACUCGGCAGUCUAGGAUCGUAGGAUCAAUCCUAUGAAAAGGGUCGUGAUUUUGUUAACCAUGGUUUUACCUCAUGAAGAAGGUGGAGACAAAUUCCCAAACAAAGGCCUAAACUUAAAGUAUGUUUAUAUGCCUUGGAUUUUAAUUUUAAUUUUUUUUCUUUCUCUCUCUCUCUUUUAGACUUUCUGUGCUAUUGACCAUUACACU